rnacentral:rRNA from 1 species
GGGGAAUAUUGGACAAUGGGCGCAAGCCUGAUCCAGCCAUGCCGCGUGAGUGAUGAAGGCCUUAGGGUUGUAAAGCUCUUUUAACGGGGAAGAUAAUGACGGUACCCGUAGAAUAAGCCCCGGCUAACUUCGUGCCAGCAGCCGCGGUAAUACGAAGGGGGCUAGCGUUGCUCGGAAUCACUGGGCGUAAAGCGCACGUAGGCGGGUCGUUAAGUCAGGGGUGGAAUCCUGGAGCUCAACUCCAGAACUGCCCUUGAUACUGGCGAUCUUGAGUUCGAGAGAGGUGAGUGGAACUGCGAGUGUAGAGGUGAAAUUCGUAGAUAUUCGCAAGAACACCAGUGGCGAAGGCGGCUCACUGGCUCGAUACUGACGCUGAGGUGCGAAAGCGUGGGGAGCAAAC